rnacentral:rRNA from 1 species
CCUACGGGGGGCUGCAGUGAGGAAUAUUGGUCAAUGGACGAGAGUCUGAACCAGCCAAGUAGCGUGAAGGAUGACUGCCCUAUGGGUUGUAAACUUCUUUUAUAUGGGAAUAAAAUGUUCCACGUGUGGGAUUUUGUAUGUACCAUAUGAAUAAGGAUCGGCUAACUCCGUGCCAGCAGCCGCGGUAAUACGGAGGAUCCGAGCGUUAUCCGGAUUUAUUGGGUUUAAAGGGAGCUUAGGUGGAUUGUUAAGUCAGUUGUGAAAGUUUGCGGCUCAACCGUAAAAUUGCAGUUGAAACUGGCAGUCUUGAGUACAGUAGAGGUGGGCGGAAUUCGUGGUGUAGCGGUGAAAUGCUUAGAUAUCACGAAGAACUCCGAUUGCGAAGGCAGUUCACUGGACUGCAACUGACACUGAGGCUCGAAAGUGUGGGUAUCAAACAGGAUUAGAUACCCUAGUAGUC